GACGAACCGUGCGAACGUUGUUCGGAAUCACUGGGCUUAAAGGGCGCGUAGGCGGGCUGUCAAGUCUGGGGUGAAAUGCUGCGGCUCAACCGUAGAACUGCCUUAGAUACUGACGGCCUCGAGGAAGGUAGGGGCAUGCGGAACUGUAGGUGGAGCGGUGAAAUGCGUUGAUAUCUACAGGAACUCCGGUGGCGAAAGCGGCGUGCUGGACCUUUUCUGACGCUGAGGCGCGAAAGCGUGGGGAGCGAACAGG
rnacentral:rRNA from 1 species